UUCUGGGAGGAUUGACAGAUUGAGAGCUCUUUCUUGAUUCAGUGUAUGGUUGUGCAUGUCCGCUCUUAAUUGAUGGAGAGAUUUGUCUGGUUAAUUCCGAUAACGAACGAGACUCUAGCCUAUUAAAUAAGUGCGUGGUUUUCUGCACCUUGCACCCUUCUUAGAGGGACACGCGGCUCCUAGCCGCACGAAACAGAGCAAUAACAGGCAUGUGAUGCCCUUAGAU
rnacentral:rRNA from 1 species